CUAGCAAGAUGUGCAUCAGCUUAGCUUUGUUGGUUUUGACCAGAGAGCCAUCAAAGUUGGAAAUUGACUGUGGAAAAGGACCCAAACUGGUCAUGGAAUGAUGCUUGGCCAUGGACUAUCCUUUUUUCACAGAAUUCAGGUCCAGCGGUGAACUGCACCCUUGUUCAGAGAGAACCCACUGAUGCCUCCCUUUGUCUUGGAGUCACGAUUGGCUGUUUGCUCAAUGACUUGAUCACAUGCUGUGCCGGCAAAACCAUGACUUUGAUGUCUUUGUGCCACAAAGUCACCUGAAAGAAGCUGCUGGUGUGCUGAAGGGCAAAAAACCAGGGCAGCAUACUUUGCACAGUGGACAAAUGGAGAGCCCAGUUCCCCUCUCUUGUUGCCCUGAUGAAAAGAAGCAAAUCUUCCAUCAUGUCAAGCAUGCCCUUGAACUCUUCAGAGGGAAAACACUCCUGCAGAUCUGUUGCCACUUUUAAAGCAGCGGCAUUUUGUUCUUGUGUGAGUGUAUCCAAGUAUGCCCACCAUCGUAGUUUCUGGAGUGCUUCCAUCAGGAGUUUGUGA